rnacentral:rRNA from 1 species
AUUGAACGCUGGCGGCAUGCCUUACACAUGCAAGUCGAACGGUAACAGGUCUUCGGAUGCUGACGAGUGGCGAACGGGUGAGUAAUACAUCGGAACGUGCCCGAUCGUGGGGGAUAACGAGGCGAAAGCUUUGCUAAUACCGCAUACGAUCUACGGAUGAAAGCGGGGGAUCUUCGGACCUCGCGCGGGCGGAGCGGCCGAUGGCAGAUUAGGUAGUUGGUGGGAUUAAAGCUUACCAAGCCGACGAUCUGUAGCUGGUCUGAGAGGAUGAUCAGCCACACUGGGACUGAGACACGGCCCAGACUCCUACGGGAGGCAGCAGUGGGGAAUUUUGGACAAUGGGCGAAAGCCUGAUCCAGCCAUGCCGCGUGCAGGAUGAAGGCCUUCGGGUUGUAAACUGCUUUUGUACGGAACGAAAAGCCUCUUUCUAAUAAAGAGGGGUCAUGACGGUACCGGAAGAAUAAGCACCGGCUAACUACGUG